AAUAAGUUUGAUUCUUGCUUAUUUAUUAGUUGGUUAAUUAGUUUAUAUGUAGUUUUAUUAAAUAUAUUAUUAUGCAGUAAGGAGUUUUGCUUUAAGUGAUUGAUUUUUAUUAAUUUUCAGUAAUUUAAUUAUGAUGGAUAAAUUUUGUGCCAGCAUUCGCGGUUAUACAAUUCAUUUGAAUUAAUAUUAUAUUUUUUAAUUAUUUAUUAUUUGAUGAUUAUAUAUAUGAUAUAUUUAGGUGGAAUUUAUAUAUUUAGUUAUUAAUCUUUCAUUAAAGUUUUUUAAAUCAUUAUAUUAGACUAGGAUUAGAUACCCUAUUAUUUGUUGCCUUAAAUUUAAUUGUUUAUAAAUGAAUAUUAUUAGUUAUGUUCUAUUAAACUCAAAGAAUUUGGCGGUAAUUUAUAUCUUUUUAGAGGAACCUGUCUUAUAAUUGAUAAACCACGAUAGUUCAUACCUUAAUUUUAUUUGUAUAUCUCUAUAUUAUUGGAAUGUUAUUUAAGUAAAUUUUCUUUUAUUAUAAUAUUUUAUAUUAGGUCAAGGCGCAGUUAUAUUUAGGUAAGGAUGGGUUACAUUAAUAUUAAAUAUUUUGGAUUUAAGUUACCUUUAGAUGAUUUUAUUGAAAUAGGAUUUAAUAGUAAUUUUAAUUAAUUAGUUAUUAUGAAUUUAGUUCUAAUUUAUGUACAUAUCGCCCGUCACUCUCUUUAAUAUGGGAUAAGUCGUAACAAAGUAGGUGUACCGGAAGGUGUAGCUAGAAAGU
rnacentral:ncRNA from 1 species